AAGGGCAUAUGUCAACCACCCACAUAUGCCUAUUAUUUUGAAGCUUAGAGUUUGUUGUGGCUGACCUGACACAUCCGGUCACCAGCUGAAUUUAAUGGCAUAGGGACAGUAUCCUUCUGGUUCCCAUUACAAUGCCAAAAACCACAGUCCUGCUCAGCUGUGCUCCUGUGGAUUUCUGUUUCGAUGAACCGUCUGCGCCUCAGUCAGUGCUGAUGACUGUGAUGUAGCUAUGUGUGUUUCCUGACGGAUUCAAACUCUAAUCUUUACCUGGUGACCACCUGUCUCAUCCCGUCCCUGCUCGCCUGUAAUACAGUCAGCCAUGCCGGAUGCAGCUGAAUAACGAGUAGCAUUGGGGUGGGGGGGAAACAAGUUUUUCUAAACUCCCCAUCAAAAGGCUGCCAUGUUUUGUGGUAGAAUGAGAAACUGAGUGGGAGAAAAGUGGGAAGCAAGUGAGACUGAAGUGGCCAAAGUGCUUGUGUUGGUGACAGAAAAGAAGAGCCAUCCUAUCAGUAGGUUGGCAGCAGCCGAGGCAGCCGGGCCCUGAGGAUGACUAGCCUGUUCAAGCGCAGCAGCAGCAAUGGAGGCUCCGGAAGCAGCGGAAGUGGCGGUGGGGGCAGCGGUGGACAGGGGCAGCUCAACAACAGCAGGUCCAGCCGGCAGGUCCGACGCCUGGAGUUCAACCAGGCCAUGGAGGACUUCAAGACCAUGUUCCCCUCCAUGGACUAUGAGGUGAUUGAGUGCGUGCUGCGCUCCAACAAUGGGGCGGUGGACGCUACGAUCGACCAGCUGCUCCAGAUGAGCAUUGACGGACAGGGCUCCGAUGACAGCUCAGACUCUGAUGACAGCAUCCCAGCAGAGAUUCUGGAGAGAACACUGGAACCUGACAGUUCAGACGAGGAACCGCCUCCAGUCUACUCUCCGCCAACAUAUGAUAUGCACAUUUAUGACAGGAAAUACCCAGAAGCCCCACCAACACCCCCGCCAAGAUUUGAAGCCCAGCCACCUCCAGGUCACCAGCAGGUCAAAAGCUACCGGAACUGGAACCCUCCUUUGCUCGGAAAGCUCCCAGACGAUUUUUUGCGGAUUCUGCCACAGCAGUUGGACAGUAUUAAGCAGAGCUCCCAGAGUAGUCUUUCCCAGCCUUCAUCCUCAUCGUCUUCCUCCGUUUCUUCAAUAAGCCAGUGGACCACACCGUCUGGUUCUCUGUCUGGAGCCGCAGGGACCACCGGAGGUCCCGGUUUGACAAGCGGAGCUACCGAGCAAGAUAAGAAGCUGAAGCAGUAUCUGGAGGAUGAGCGCAUCGCCCUGUUCCUGCAGAACGAGGAGUUUAUGAGAGAGCUGCAGCGCAACCGCGAGUUCCUCAUCGCCUUGGAGAGAGAUCGCUUGAAGUAUGAAUCAAAGAAAUCAAAGUCCAAUCAUUCAUCUAGUAUGGAGAAUUCCACAGGAGAACAGUACUCGGCAGCUUCAAUGGAGGCAGUGUCAGAUGACGCCCUGUUCAGAGACAAACUCAAACACAUGGGCAAAUCAACAAGAAAGAAGCUGUUUGAAAUUGCCAGAACGUUCUCAGAAAAGACGAAGCGGAGAAAGUCAAAAAGAAGGAUGCUCCUGAAGCACCAUUCAUUGGGCACCACCAACUCUACAGCUAAUCUCCUCGACGAUGUAGAGGGAAACCCCUGUGAGGAUGGUCAGCCCAGAAGAGCAAAAACUCAGGAAGAGAAAGAACAACGCAAUGAGCCAAUAAUAUGAUCGCCCUAUGCUGCACCAUAUCAGGGUUACCAUGGCGACGGCAGCAUGACCUGUGGGUGGUGGCCUUGCAGCUCUUCCUGUCUCCACCUGCUCAACCCCCCCCCCCACCCCCACCCUAAUCCAAACCAGCCGAUGUAAAGGCUCAGCAGUGAGUUGUUUCCCCCUCCUUCCCAGGGAGACGAACCGGACUGUACGCAGCACUGGCCCGACUGUCUAUAAAAGCAUUAUCUCUGUAUUAUAACACUUUAAUAUAUCAUUUUAAAUGUAAAGGAAUUGUGACGUAAGGAAUGCAUUAGUCCUUCUCAGUAUUUGUUAACGGCUUCCUUUAAUCCCCUGAGAGGAACACUAGCGUAGUGAUGAUCUUGCCAUAUGAACCUUUUUAUUACUUCUCCAGACUGUGUGUUUCUGAUUGGUGUACCUCAGGCUUGGCAUUUCGGAUCCAAAGUGUGCACAUGCUCCUUUAUAUACACUAAACCAUGAAGAGCUUUUUUACCAUGUUUUCUUAAUCCGAUUGUAAUAUUCAGCUGUUUUUGAACGUCAGGGGUUAUGUAAAGUUCUUAUGUGCCAGAAUAUUGUGGCCAUCAAAGCGGUUGCUGCCCAAAUGUCAACACUUGGCCAUUGUAACUGAUUGAUCACAUUUGAAAGAGUGUGUUCUUAGAAAGCAUGUUUGGAGCAGUUCACUUGAAAGGCUGCAGUGUUUGGAGCAGCGUACUAGUUUGCUUUGUUUGGCAAGGUGAAAACGCGGUCAUUCAAUCAGUUGUAACGGCACUACGGCCGAGACAUUAAACCACGAUGACCGACAAAGUAAAUGAUUAUGUGAACUUUCUUACGGAGUUUCAACAGACUGGUAAUAAAUAACUCCAAAGUCCGGCCGAGGUCUAAAGGCAAAAGUUUGCAUGAAAAGUGACCGAAGUAGUUGUGUGAAAAAUGAAAAGAGGGAGAAGUUAAAACUUUAAGACUGAUUGUGGGAUUCAGUUUUGGAGAGAAUUUGUCAGAUGUAGCCCACCCACAGUCCACCCAAAAAUGUCUCGAACUGGUGACACAAAUGUGUUGUCAUACCUGCCAGUACAAAGCCUUGAGACCAGUGUUGUUUGAUGGUUUCACACUAAAGCAAAGCACCUCUGCUUUUUUUUUUUUUCCACUUUGUCAUUUAUACCCAGUUCUUCUGUUGAACAUUUGUGUUUUUUUUUGUCUUUUUGAUCUCUGUUAAAUGUGAAAAUGUCUGCAAAUAGGCUAACUACACGUUUUACUGCUAAAGCCCUGAAAGAAAAGGUGCGUUACAUUUCUGUACAGGUCAGAUUCAGACUGUGGCAGUGGAAGGGUUACUGCCCUGUCACUAGUUUUUACAGCAUGUAGGAAUGCCAGUAAGUGAUUCCAGCAACCUUGAAAGUAAUCAAAAGCUGCCAACCAAUCAGCUGCCAGCCUCGGCCAGCUCAUGAGGGCCAUUAAAAACCCUCAUGUUCCCUCUUGAUAGAAAUGUAUACACAUGAUGAUCCACAAUGACCCUUUAACAUUCUUAGAAUCUCCUGUUCCUUGAACAUCAUUUUCAUUGUGUAUGUGUAUGUCAGUGAUAUAUGAGAUGUAAAGAAGGGAAAUUGAGCUUUUAGUGUUGUCUAUCUGUAGGAAGAUGGGUGCAGAACAGCUGUCAAUCAUUCUUGGCAUUAAGUUCUCUGAAAGUCGGUGCUAAUGCCAAAGGUUUUCCUUUUCAGAUCAUUUAUAAUUUUCUGCUGAGAUAGAGUGUUUCUCAUGAAUGGGCCGCAGUACUUAGUUCUCCAUACAGAACCAUUAAUGGGUUUGCAUUACAUGUUUGUAUACCUGUUACCAUUAUGAUUGGAAAAACACAGUCCUGCCUCAGUGAGAUGCAGUUUAAAGUGGUUGAAUACAUCAAACAUAUAUAUGAAUGUAUGAUGUUCCUUUUCUUGUAUUUUUUUUGUUUGUGUGUUUGUUUCAAUAAAGGCUUUUU